rnacentral:rRNA from 1 species
ACGCACGCUGGCGGCGUGCUUAACACAUGCAAGUCGAACGGAAAGGCCCUGCUUUUGUGGGGUGCUCGAGUGGCGAACGGGUGAGUAACACGUGAGUAACCUGCCCUUGACUUUGGGAUAACUUCAGGAAACUGGGGCUAAUACCGGAUAGGAGCUCCUGCUGCAUGGUGGGGGUUGGAAAGUUUCGGCGGUUGGGGAUGGACUCGCGGCUUAUCAGCUUGUUGGUGGGGUAGUGGCUUACCAAGGCUUUGACGGGUAGCCGGCCUGAGAGGGUGACCGGCCACAUUGGGACUGAGAUACGGCCCAGACUCCUACGGGAGGCAGCAGUGGGGAAUAUUGCACAAUGGGCGGAAGCCUGAUGCAGCAACGCCGCGUGCGGGAUGACGGCCUUCGGGUUGUAAACCGCUUUCGCCUGUGACGAAGCGUGAGUGACGGUAAUGGGGAAAGAAGCACCGGCUAACUACGU